UACAGUCUGCUUGGCAAUAUUUUAUUCUAUUUCAGUCAGAUAUAUACACAAACGAAAACAUUUCCCUCCAACUGCCGCACAAAUAUUUCUGUUCCUUCCAAGCAGAAUCGCAAGUGUCGUUGACAUUUGCCGAAAAUAGGGUUUUCGUCUGCUUGGAUCAAAAGCAUUAAAAACCGCUACAUCAUCCGCUCCCAUAAGUAUCCAAUAUUCCUGCAGAGCUGCUUGUCUGGCCUGUCAGAAUUCGGAUGCGGCAACGCACAACAAAAAGACAAAAGAAUGGCCGAAAUGAGAUAACCUUUAAAAGCUGCUCGUAUGCUAAAACUAAAUAACGGCAUUAGAGCCAAAUGGCAACCAGGACAUGGAGGUAGACCAACUGCAAGUACUCAUGUGUGUGUGUGGGUAGUAAUACCGUUUGUUUGGAGUACAGCAACUGAAGCCGUGCCUCUCAAGUCAAUCUACUUCUCUCCUGUUUGAUACCCCGCAUUUACUGAACGGAAUCGUUAAGGAUAAGAUUAAAAAUAGUUUUCUUGGAAAAUGGCAGAUUAAAGAUUUAAAAAUUUCAGAGAUUAAAAGUUAAAUGGUCAAAAUCUAUAUUAA
rnacentral:sRNA from 1 species